GACGAACGCUGGCGGCGUGCUUAACACAUGCAAGUCGAACGGAAAGGCCCUGCUUUUGUGGGGUGCUCGAGUGGCGAACGGGGGAGUAACACGUGAGUAACCUGCCCUUGACUUUGGGAUAACUUCAGGAAACUGGGGCUAAUACCGGAUAGGAGCUCCUGCUGCAUGGUGGGGGUUGGAACGUUUCGGCGGUAGGGGAUGGACUCGCGGCUGAUCAGCUUGUUGGUGGGGUAGUGGCUUACCAAGGCUUGGACGGGUAGCCGGCCUGAGAGGGUGACCGGCCACAUUGGGACUGAGAGACGGACCAGACUCCUACGGGAGGCAGCGGUGGGGAAUAUUGCACAAUGGGCGGAAGCCUGAUGCAGCAACGCCGCGUGCGGGAUGACGGCCUUCGGGUUGUGAACCGCUUUCGCCUGUGACGAAGCGUGAGUGACGGUAAUGGGUAAAGAAGCACCGGCUAACUACGUG
rnacentral:rRNA from 1 species